CGGCGAAGACUUACUUGCCUCCAGCGGCUGCGUUGGCAGGUUCUCCCUGUUAGCCUGGGACCAGUCUCCUCAACGCCAGUGUUCUCUUUGCCUUCACUGUGGGUGAGAGAGGAGAAAGGAGAAACCAUGUGGCCUCCGUCCUGUAUUUUAUAUCCUCUUUCCAUGUGUUUGGAGAACACGAGUCCAGGGUGACAGAACAAGGUAGUCCAUGCUACUGAUGUGGACCUUUCCCUUCACGGGGUCCCAACAUCUUGUUCCUUCAGUUCCUCUGACCUGGGGGGACGAAGAAGGAUUUGGACCUUAUGUUGGAAUACUUCACUGAAAGAAAUUAUAAUGAAUUGUUCUUGCUAUUGUAUCACUAGCAGACAUCUAUGUCCAGAAUUGCUUUUGAAAGCGAGGGCAGAACCUCAUUGCUCAUUGACAUUUUGAUGUUGCUGCAUCUCCACAACACAACAGA